GGGGGAUCGAGUGCUGGCACUCAAUGGGUUAAUGGUUGAUAAAGUAUUUUUUAGAAGAAAAGAUUUCUAUGAUUUAUUGUAUAUAUAGUUUACAGAGUCUGAUAAAAAAUGUAAAUGUAAAUAAAAGAUUACAGAGUCUGAUAAAAAAUGAAGGUCCAUGAUAGAUUUUGCUGAGCAAGAUGAUUAUUUUUUGGGAGUGCUAGUGAGUGGGACACAAGGAAAAAAAUUACCAGGAUUAUUGAGAACUAAAGAUGUCAUGGGAUCUAGGACUACGAUGGAAACAAUGCCAGAUGCUUGGAAAAUUUCACCACAAGGAUAGUGAUUAUUAUAGUUUAUUUUUUUUUAAUUUUUUUUUUCAUGCAUCGAGUCUACUCAGUUUAUUAUUAUGACAUAUGUCAUAAUAAUAAACUGAUAUGUCAUACUAAACUGAGUAGACUCGAUGCAUGCCCGAGCGCGCGCGAGGGUACAAAUUUCAACACACAUUUUUGGGCUGCCUAUGAGACAACUAUGGAAUAAGGG